rnacentral:rRNA from 1 species
UACGUAGGGAGCAAGCGUUGUCCGGAUUUACUGGGCGUAAAGGGCGCGUAGGCGGCGUGUCAAGUCGAUUGUGAAAUCUCCGGGCUUAACUCGGAACGGCCAAUCGAUACUGACGUGCUAGAGUGCAGAAAGGGCAAUCGGAAUUCUUGGUGUAGCGGUGAAAUGCGUAGAUAUCGGGAGGAACACCGGUGGCGAAGGCGGAUCUCUGGGCCAUUACUGACGCUGAGGAGCGAAAGCGUGGGGAGCGAACAGG